GGAGGGGUGGCAGAGCGGUUUAAUGCACCGGUCUUGAAAACCGGCGAAGGUUAAUAGCCUUCCGAGAGUUCGAAUCUCUCCUCCUCCGCCA
rnacentral:tRNA from 1 species